rnacentral:tRNA from 1 species
UCCUUGGUGGUCCAAUGGUUAAGACUCUGAGUUCUCAACGCAGAGGGCACAGGUUCGAUCCCUGGUCAGGAAA